CUAUAAGCACUGCUAUAUCCUUCACACUCAAGCUUGCUCAGAUUUAUUGCUUUAAUAGCCUCAAACGCCACCGCACAACACUCUGGGGGGCCCGACCCAAACUUCGAGCCCACUUGCCUGUGGCCCACUAGACUCCAGGCCGGGCAACCGUAGUACUCCUCGCAGCCCAUGCCUGAAACGUUCCGACAAGGCAAGUGCUUCUCAGGGAAACCUUGGAAGAGCGGUGAUUGAGCUGAGCAGCCUAUGAGCAUGAACACAUUAUCCGCGGUUGGAUUGAAGUAGGGUGACUGCCACGGCUCCACGGAGAAGCCGUUACCCUUGCCGCCGAGGACGAUGGUGUCACAAGUUGACAAGUGAGGCUCAUGAAGAGUAAGUGAUUGAUAAGCAUAGUCUAUUUCUAGUACCCGGUAUGAUCCUGAGGAAAUGUGAAACAUGAGCACAUCGUUUAUGCAAAACAAAAGGUCUCUAAAACCGGGGUGACCACAGCCAUAUUGGAGUGAAAAAGGAUAAUCUAUAGUGACGUUUCCGCAAUAAGAUCGGCAGGGAUUUACAUGGCCAUUGGCAGAAGCUAGAUGGAGUAUUAAUGUUGGAAAAAUUGUGAAAAUGGUCAAGAAGAGAGUAGUCAUGGCUGUGAGUGAGAUACAGAUAUCAAGAAAUAAGAGGGGAUAUGUGAAAAAGGGAAAGAAUACUGUUGGGGGAAGAAGAUAUAGCAGAUUACAGAUACUUUGCUUGGAUGGUUGAGGAAAUGCUUAAUGCUGCAGGCAUUAAUUUUUGGGAACUUUAUGCGCAUGGAAGUGCUGAGGAAUCUGUAUGAGUUGUAUUGUUUAAGGGUUUUCCGCAUCUUUUUUGAAGGAAUUGAUUUUCUUUUAGAUAAUGGGCUGUGCAGCUGACUUUUUGAUGUUCUGCAGUGCUCCGUAGCUAGCUUUAGUUUGC
rnacentral:misc_RNA from 1 species